CAGUUACUAUGACUCAGGCCGUCCCUCAACUCGUGAUGACUGAAGCCCACACAAUAGCGGUUUGAAAGUGACCUCGGAACAGUCCUUCCCUCCCUCAGCUGGUGCUCACAUGGGCUCUUAGAGCAGGUCCUACGGCACUGUCUGGUGCAUUGGACUGAGAAUCAGGAGACAAAGCUUGUGGCCCGGCCGGUCAUACUCUGAGUUGCUGCAAGUCAUGGUCUCUUUUUGUCCUUCACCUGCUGAGUGACGAGUUGGGCUGGAUGGCUUCUGUAGGAAACUCCCCACAGACUGACACAUCUGAUCCUACAAGUGUCCAUCCACAUAGCAGGGUCCCUGACACUUACCAAAGAGUGAAGCACAGUGCCAGGGACACGGUGGCCUCACUCAUUCUCACAGUAGGUGGGCAGAUGGGUUCUUCUCUCCCACCUUGCAGGGAAAUAAAAUGAAAAUGAAAGCUCACAGAGGUCAGGUGAUAGUCAACCUGCCCAAGGUCACACAGCUAGAAAAUGGCAACUGUGUUGGGUUUCAGGAGGGGUAUGAAGGAUGGGAGUGUUUGGAGGUUGGGGGCAGCCCAGCUGCUGAGACAUCCAGACAGGGCCAUGGGAGUGGAGAGCAGGGGUAAUAUGGUUUGGCUGUGUCUCCACCCAAAUCUCAGUUUGAAUUGUAUCUCCCAGAAUUCCCACCUGUUGUGGGAGGGACUCAGGGGGAGGUAAUUGAAUCAUGGGGGCCGGUCUUUCCUGUGCUAUUUUCAUGACAGUGAAUAAGCCUCACGAGAUCUGAUGAGUUUAUCAGGGGGUUUUUGCUUUUACUUCUUCAUUUUUCUCUUGCUGCCGCCACGUUAGAAGCGCCUUUUGCCUCCCACCAUGAUUCUGAGGCCUCCCCAGACAUGUGGAACUGUAAGUCCAAUUAAACCUCUUCUUGUUCCCAGUUUUGGAUAUGUCUUUAUCAACAGCAUGAAAACGGACUAAUAUAGUAAAUUAGUACAAGCAGAAUAGGGCAUUGCUGAAAAGAUACCUGAAAAUGUGGAAGCAGCUUUGGAACUAUGUAACAGGAAGAGAUUGGAACAGUUUGAAGAGCUCAGAAGAAGAUAGGAAAAUGUGGGAAAGUUUGGAACCUCAUGGAGACUUGUUGAAUGGCUUUGACAAAAAUGCUGAUAGUGAUAUGAUCAAUAAGGUCCAGGCUGAGGUGGUCUCCAGUGGAGAUGAGGAAAUAUUGGGAACUGGAGCAAAGGUGACUGUUGUUAUGUUUUGGCAAAGACACUGGAAUCAUAUUGCCCCUGCCCUAGAGAUUUGUGGAAAUUUGAACUUGAGAGAGAU
rnacentral:lncRNA from 10 species